ACACAGGAGCCCAUGGAGGGGGUGGGAGGCUCAGGCAUGGCGGGCUGCAGGUCCCGAGCCCUGCCCCGCGGGAAGGCAGUUAAGGCCGUUAAGGCCCGGUGAGAAAUCGAGCGCAGCGCCGGUGGGCUGGCACUGCUGGGGGACCCAGUACACCCUCCGCAGCCGCUGGCCCGGGUGCUAAGCCCCUCAUUGCCCGGGGCCGGCAGGGCCGGCCGGCUGCUCCGAGUGCGGGGCCGGCCAAGCCCACGCCCACCCGGAACUCCAGCUGGCCCGCAAGCGCCGCGCGCAGCCGGGGUUCCCGCUCGCGCCUCUCCCUCCACACCUCCCUGCAAGCUGAGGGAGCCGGCUCUGGCCUUGGCCAGCCCAGAAAGGGGCUCCCACAGUGCAGCGGUGGGCUGAAGGGCUCCUCAAGUGCCGCCAAAGUGGGAGCCCAGGCAGAGGAGGCGCAGAGAGCGAGGGAGGGCUGUGAGGACUGCCAGCAUGCUGUUACCUCUCAAUAAGGAAUUCAAGGUCUCCUUGGGAGUCUCAUGUCCUUGCCAAGCCUUCGCCAGGCUCUCGCCACUGCCGUUCCUCUACCAGCCCAAGUCUACAUUCUGAGGCUCUAGGAACACGAGAGAGAACUCCAGUGCUCACAUCCCAUAUUGACCCUCUUUAUGUUCUUCAAUUACCACCUACCUGAAAAAGCCUCAAAGUCUCAGGGGAACAUUCUGGAGUCCCUGCUGCUGAAGAGGGUUUUUUGAGUUUUGGUCGUCUUCCAAAGUUUAUUGUAUGAAGUCUUAGUGCUUCACUGGAGUUUGUCAUAUGUCUGGAUAAUAAAUAAGUUUCAAAAAUGUAA